rnacentral:rRNA from 1 species
GUCGAACGAAGUAGCAAUACUUAGUGGCAAACGGGUGAGUAUAAUGUGGGAAUCUACCAAUUGGUUCGGAAUAACACGAGGAAACUUGUGCUAAUACCGUAUAAGUCUUUACAGAGAAAGCUUUAUGCGCCGAUUGAUGAGCCCGCACUUGAUUAGCUAGUUGGUAAGGUAAUAGCUUACCAAGGCUACGAUCAAUAGCUGAUCUUAGAGGAUGAUCAGCCACAUUGGGACUGAGACACGGCCCAAACUCCUACGGGAGGCAGCAGUGGGGAAUCUUGCACAAUGGGGGAAACCCUGAUGCAGCGAUGCCGCGUGAGUGAAGAAGGCCUUUGGGUUGUAAAGCUCUUUCGUCGGGGAAGAAAAUGACUGUACCCGAAUAAGAAGGUCCGGCUAACUUCGUGCCAGCAGCCGCGGUAAUACGAAGGGACCUAGCGUAGUUCGGAAUUACUGGGCUUAAAGAGUUCGUAGGUGGUUGAAAAAGUUAGUGGUGAAAUCCCGGAGCUUAACUCUGGAACUGCCAUUAAAACUUUUCAGCUAGAGUAUGAUAGAGGAAAGCAGAAUUUCUAGUGUAGAGGUGAAAUUCGUAGAUAUUAGAAAGAAUACCAAUUGCGAAGGCAGCUUUCUGGAUCAUUACUGACACUGAGGAACGAAAGCAUGGGUAGCGAAGAGGAUUAGAUACCCUCGUAGUCCAUGCCGUAAACGAUGUGUGUUAGACGUUGGAAAUUUAUUUUCAGUGUCGCAGGGAAACCGAUAAACACACCGCCUGGGGAGUACGACCGCAAGGUUAAAACUCAAAUGAAUUGACGGGGACCCGCACAAGUAGUGGAGCAUGUGGUUUAAUUCGAAGAUACGCGCAGAACCUUACCAACACUUGACAUGUUCGUCGCGACUCUAAGAGAUUAGAGUUUUCGGUUCGGCCGGACGAAACACAGGUGCUGCAUGGCUGUCGUCAGCUCGUGUCGUGAGAUGUUGGGUUAAGUCCCGCAACGAGCGCAACCCUCACUUUUAGUUGCCAUCAUUAAGUUGGGCACUCUGAAAGAACUGCCAGUGAUAAGCUGGAGGAAGGUGGGGAUGACGUCAAGUCCUCAUGGCCCUUACGUGUUGGGCUACACACGUGCUACAAUGGUAUCUACAACAGGAAGCAAGACUGCGAAGUUAAGCAAAUCCCUAAAAGAUACCUCAGUUCGGAUUGCACUCUGCAACUCGAGUGCAUGAAGCUGGAAUUACUAGUAAUCGUGGAUCAGCGUGCCACGGUGAAUGCGUUCCCGGGUCUUGUACACACCGCCCGUCACACCAUGGGAGUUGGUUCUACCUUAAGGCAAGGUUCAAACCCUGACCACG